CCCCCCUAGGGGCGCAGCAGUCGAGAAUCAUUCACAAUGGGGGAAACCCUGAUGGUGCGAUGCCGCGUGGGGGAAUGAAGGUCUUCGGAUUGUAAACCCCUGUCAUGUGGGAGCAAAUUAAAAAGAUAGUACCACAAGAGGAAGAGACGGCUAACUCUGUGCCAGCAGCCGCGGUAAUACAGAGGUCUCAAGCGUUGUUCGGAAUCACUGGGCGUAAAGCGUGCGUAGGCUGUUUCGUAAGUCGUGUGUGAAAGGCGCGGGCUCAACCCGCGGACGGCACUU
rnacentral:rRNA from 1 species